CCAGACUCCUACGGGAGGCAGCAGUGGGGAAUAUUGCACAAUGGGGGAAACCCUGAUGCAGCGACGCCGCGUGAGCGAUGAAGUAUUUCGGUAUGUAAAGCUCUAUCAGCAGGGAAGAAAUUGACGGUACCUGAGUAAGAAGCUCCGGCUAAAUACGUGCCAGCAGCCGCGGUAAUACGUAUGGAGCAAGCGUUAUCCGGAUUUACUGGGUGUAAAGGGAGCGUAGGCGGCCAUGCAAGUCAGAAGUGAAAACCCGGGGCUCAACCCUGGGAGUGCUUUUGAAACUGUGCGGCUAGAGUGUCGGAGGGGUAAGUGGAAUUCCUAGUGUAGCGGUGAAAUGCGUAGAUAUUAGGAGGAACACCAGUGGCGAAGUCGGCUUACUGGACGAUGACUGACGCUGAGGCUCGAAAGCGUGGGGAGCAAACAGGAUUAGAUACCCUCGUA
rnacentral:rRNA from 1 species